CCUGCAACCGCACCGAAGCGCGCUCUGUUCCUCGCUCCAGCCCCGGCCCGGCCUCCAAGCUGGGGGCAUCCYGCACCUCUCGGCGGCUUUGGGGGGGCACGGGAGGACAUGGAGCAGGCCCUGAGCAAMCCCCCCCCCUUUUAAUAACCUUCUUCUCUUUCCGCAGGGUGACAAAGGCUCGCCCGGCGCGCCUGGCCCCUCGGGUGCCAAGGGGGAGCCCGGAGCGCCCGGUCCGGACGGGCCCCCAGGGAAGCCCGGCAUCGACGGCCUGACGGGAGCAAAAGGGGAACCGGGGCCCAUUGGCGGGCCAGGAAUUAAGGUAAGCGCGGGCAGUGCCGGGGCUGUUCCCUGGGGGCUGCGCUCGUCCCUCUCCCUUGGGA
rnacentral:lncRNA from 1 species